GAGAGUAUAGCUCAGUGGUAGAGUGUGUGCUUAGCAUGCACGAGGUCCUGGGUUCAAUCCCCAGGACCUCCA
rnacentral:tRNA from 1 species